rnacentral:misc_RNA from 1 species
AAUUCUCAACCUUUCCAGCUUUUACUAGCUUGGUCAGGCUUGGAUGUGGGGGUUGCGGGCUUCUCAGAAGUCGGCUCUCCUUAAAUGCAUUAGUGAAACCUUUGUUGACCAUCUCUGGUGUGAUAAUUAUCUACGCCGCUGUAAGGUCUUCAGUUAUGAGGUUCUGCUUCUAACCGUCCUCUCGGGGACAACUCUUGACA